CUCAACAGCAAGAACAGCUUUCGAUUCCUUCACAAACCUCAAUUCUCACUUUGAAAAUUCAAACGAAACUAAACGCAAGCCAUGAACAAGACCUCAAAUCCAGAUGAACAAUCAUCACCGAAAUCUUAUAAAUCGAAUUCAUCAUCAUCGAAUUGAGUUGCAAACUGAAGACGAGUCGUAAUCAAAUUGUGUUUUAUGCGCAGAACUGAAGAGAAUCAUAGAUGAAUGGUGGAUUUCGUUCAAGAAAUGCACGCUGAUUGAAUCAAGAGAUAGAAGAUUUACUAGAUUGAAGCUCCAGCACGGUGGUUCUCCGGCGAAUCAGGUUUUGCUUGGCAAAUGGAUAUGGUCAUGGAUGUGAGCUCAAGAUCAAGAUGAUGUGGACUUAGAGACUUUAGGGAAGAUGGUUGACUUUGUUCAACCAGUUGACCAAAAAUUCAAUAGUUGACUAAAGUCAACUGUAGGUUAGAAUAGGUUUCUUUUUUUUGUUUGAUGUAAAUGUAAGGACUUGUAUUUGAUGUCUUGAUGAAAUGUAAUGUAAAAGAGGUUUUGAAUGAAUAAAACGUGAUUCCUCUA